GCGCCCGUAGCUCAGCUGGAUAGUGCAAUGGACUUCUAAUCCAUAGGCCGCAGGUUCGAAUCUUGCCGGGCGCACCA
rnacentral:tRNA from 1 species